rnacentral:rRNA from 1 species
CCUACGGGGGGCAGCAGUAGGGAAUCUUUCACAAUGGGCGAAAGCCUGAUGGAGCAACGCCGCGUGCAGGAUGAAGGCCUUCGGGUCGUAAACCUCUUUUGCCGGGGAGCAGAGGUCCGGACGUGUCCGGGCCGGGAGAGUACCCGGAGAAAAAGCAUCGGCUAACUCCGUGCCAGCAGCCGCGGUAAUACGGAGGAUGCGAGCGUUAUCCGGAUUUAUUGGGUUUAAAGGGUGCGUAGGCGGGCAUUUAAGCCGGCGGUCAAAUGUCGGGGCUCAACCCCGGCCUGCCGUCGGAACUGGGUGCCUUGAGUGGGCGAGAAGUAUGCGGAAUGCGUGGUGUAGCGGUGAAAUGCAUAGAUAUCACGCAGAACCCCGAUUGCGAAGGCAGCAUACCGGCGCCCUACUGACGCUGAGGCACGAAAGUGCGGGUAUCGAACAGGAUUAGAUACCCUUGUAGUC